AUAAGCAUUUAAAUAUGGUACUAAGCAUUUGAGAGAGAAUAUUUAGUUAAAACACAAAGAAAUGCUACAUGCGAAAUCCUUUAAUUCAACUUACUAUGCAGAGAUUGUUCAUCAAUUAGUCCGUACUUAUAUGCAUAGCAGUACUUAUAUGCAUGUCAGUAGGCAUAUCUUUAGCCCUGAUUAACUCACCUGGUUUAGCCAAUGUGUCUCCAUAAUCUAUUUUUCACCUGGUUUGGGAACCACAUUCUUGUAGUGACAUAGGUUCAGAGAUUUUCUACAAUAUAACCCUAGAACUAAAAUGCCACGUGUAAGUCUUGAAACCCAGGUACCAUACCUCAAUUUUUAUCUGGCUUGUAAUUUUCACAAAUUUUUUAGAGUUUUGAUACAGUGCAUAGAGGACAGAAGUGGCAACAUGGAUAGGCUCCAUCAUCUAAUGUGGUCCUUGGCAACUUGCCACUCGCAAGGAUCACUAUGGACAACAACUAUGACAUGUGAAGGCAAGCAUUACAACUCUGGAGCUCUCCCUCUAUGUUCCUGUCUGCCGUGAGCUCCUACAAAUGGAUUUGUGUGAUUACUUAAUUCAAUGCAUUUAGGUGGACCUCAUGAACAAAUAUGGCGGAUCCUUUUUUGCUGGAGGCAAUUCAGGUUAUGGCCAUUCUGGCUGAUCAUCAUGGAUGGUGAGUGUUUAUUUUUCACUUUUUUUGCAGUUCAACUCCCUGGUAUUUGGAGUUCUUUGUUGACAGAGGAGGGGAAUUUCUUUUGUUUCUUUGUUUUUGUUAAUCUGUUUCCUAAUUGGACCACUGCAUACCUACGCCAAUAUAGCUCGUUGAUCAUAUUUUAGGUUGAACGAAUAAGCUGUAUUGUUGUGUUUGGUAUAGCCGUUGAACCAGGAGUGGAUUGUAGCGUUUCAGUGCUUAAUUAUAGCUUGAAAUGUAUGGCUCCAUAAAGUAUCUCCUAAUUGAUUAUGUCAUGUUUUUUAUUUGAAUAAUUUGAUUGGUGAAAUGCCCUGUCCAAGAUCAUAAUCAGAACUAGUAUCACUGUAUCUUUUCCGGGUGGGUUCCUGGGGUGGAAAUGGGUUGGUGUGCCACAUGAAUGCCAAAGUAUUCUAAGCAUGUCUAGUUAUUAUCUUUUCCUUUUUAGAUUGGAGUUUCAAAACAGGGGACCAAGCAAGCAAAAACUAUGUGUUCCAUUUUUUUUAACACAAUCGGAUGCAGUUUUUUUCCCCCAAACACAGGACACACACGAUUGUGGGUUCCACAUGUUGAUGCACACUCAACAUUAGGAACAGACGUCAGUGUGCAACAUCCAAGAAAAGGACAUUUUCAACAUUCGGAAGAUCCUGAUGCAUAUGUGGCUUAAUUUUGAAGAAAAUGACACAGUGGGAAAGCAUCCAGAAUUUAGCAUAGGCUCUACAAUGGACUCAAAUCAGGUUAUACAACAAUGGGUUCUACAUCAGCAUGUCUGUCCGGAUUCUCAAUAUACACAGUUUAGUUUUUGUAAUUGAAGAUUUGCUAUUUUUGCAUAAUGGGGAUAUGUUUUUCCCAGUGGAUCUUGUUGCUAGAAGCUAGGAACAAUGUUGCACUGGAUUGCGGCAUAAAAGAUUGGGAUUCAAUCUAUGUGUCACUGUUGGUGUUUCUUAUGCUCAAUGGAAUAUGGAUUCUGCAAGCACACAGAAUCACCGCUGUAGCACUUCACCUUGGAGUAUUCCAGGGUAUCGUAAUUUCC